ensembl:lncRNA
GAUCAAGAUGAGGCCUAACCAGCUUGUUUUCCUAGGGGAAGUUAAAAUACUGAAGCAGAUUGUGAUUCAUGUCAGCAUCAUGGUUGGCUUCAAGAUUCCUGGCUGCUGUCUUGAGCCAACCCCUCUUCUGGACAAGGAUACCAGGGCUGAGGGCGAGAACCUUUUUGUGGCCAGCUGGUGCUUCUGAUAAAGAUGCCAGGUAAGGGCACAGCAUCUUUUGGAACAGGUAGUGUGAAGUCUAGGUGGGGUUGGGCAGCCUUGGGCAGGAUGGGUUCAGUAGGGAUGUCAAUGUGAUGGAGUCAGCAACCAUCCAGUCUGCUAAAUUUGUACUGUAGAGAUUGAGUCUAAAGCAGUGUUGAAGAGUGUGGCACAUAUUUCAAAAUAGUGAAAGCACUGCGGGGGGGGGGGGAGAGAUUUUACUAACUACUGUAUAUAUUUUAGACUUCAGACUGGCACUAGAAAUCCAGUUUUUUGGCCCUUUGCUUAUUAUUCUGGGAAUUUCACGAGCUAAUGUGAAAUAAGAAAUGCAGCUGAGUGCACAUGACUGUCUGAAAGCCUGUCAUAGGUUAUUCUAAACCCCAAGUCCUGCCCUCCCUUUCUCUCCCUCUCUGCUCCACACUCCCUCCCCUUGCAUUCCCUUUGUAGAACCAUUUUUAAAAUCCUGGAUGUGUCGCACCAUUUUUUCCAACCUUAUGCCAGCACUAUUUGUAGUUUUCCACCUGUCACCGUGUGUAUUACAUUGUAAGCCUGGAUGGUGUUUCUUCAGUUCUAGUGCCUUAACAGACAGGGAGAAAGAUUGAUUCACAGAUCAUUUUGGGGUAACCUUUUUAAAAUUUAAUAAGACUGCCAGAAUAAGGCAGCAAUGCUAAAUGUGCUUGCAUGAAAAUUAGCUCCAUUGAAAUAAAAAUGAUUAUUUCAAAGAGUAUGUUUACAAUUUAGGGUGUUGGUCACCUGUGAACAAUUCCCCCACGUGGUUGUUGUUGUUGUUUUGUACAAAUCACGUUUAUUUCCAAGCUUUUCUACGUAGAAAUUAACAUUUCAAAAUACAUUACUAAUCUAAUUUCAUUAUAGAGGCAUGUUGUUUUUUGAACUUCCCAUAUUUUCCAACUAAGCCUUUUCCUGACACUUAGCAUCUGUAUUGCUGUGAGUUUGGGGGGUGCGUAGUAGACUGUAUGCCUGGAUCCGACAAGGAUUUGAUUGCUGGAAUAGCCAGGCAAGUUUCUUUGUAACGGCCUAUGUAUGAGUCAUUAAGGUAACUAAGGAAGUGGUUCUGUGCUAGAAAACAAAUGGGUGGCACCCUCUCUCUGUCUGUUAGAAAGACAAAGGCCAGAGUUGAGGUGUGUGAGCUAGAAGGUAGAAGCAAGGAAGCAGGCCGAGAGCCAUGUUCUGCUUGAAUCCAAGGGGAACUGCCUUCCUAAAUCCAGCGCUGUUGAGUGGAGAAACCCCAGAAGUUCGGAGACUUUAUCUCUAAAGCAUCCUCUCUCCUCUUGCAACUCUCUCUCCUGAUGUUCCUUAGAAAAAGGACAAUAGGGCAUGGCAGGCCUAUCGUCCUUUUUCUAAGAUUGAAAAUACACACGUCUAUUUUAUCCACUUUUUAAGGCGGGGGGGGGGAUUGUUCAGCCUGUUGAAAUCCGGCUUGCGAGCAUCUAAGGAGGGACUUGGGAAAAGAGGGGAGGGGGAUGGAUGUGGGAGGCAGUGCAGAGACACGUGACAAGGCAAGGGGAUAAGAGGCAGAAUCGGAAUCAGCCUUCGGCACGAGCCAGGCUUCCUUUCGGAGAAUCACAGCAGCAGUCCAGGGGCAGAAAGAAAGAAAGACAGGAAGAAAGUGAAGGCAAGCUCUUAACCUGCAACCUGAAAAC